rfam:Brucella melitensis biovar Abortus 2308 chromosome II, complete sequence, strain 2308
AAAUAUGCUUGUUUUCAACUUAAUUUUCAUAUUUAUUUCAAGUGUUUAACGUUCUUUUUUUGGGGGCAGAAUGCGUAAGUUUGUUAAGAGAACCGCAAUUUGUGGAUCGCUCUUAUUGAUAGCGAUUUUUAUGAUGAAUAGUUGGAGCGGUAUUCAGAGCGGGCAUAACGCAUUUCGUCCAGUCUCAAAAUCAAAACCAGCAUCAAGUGAGACUUGUAAAGAGUAUAACGAAAAGGGUUUUAUCGGAAAAUUGUUUGAUUUUUCUGCACGUGGUUGGUGCGAUUGAUUAAAGAGGCUUCGGCCUCUUUUUUUGACGCU